UAGCUCAGUCACUUGAGUGUAACGCUAACAACGCUAAGGUUGUGGGUUCGAUUCCCAU
rnacentral:tRNA from 1 species